rnacentral:rRNA from 1 species
UGGGGAAUUUUGGACAAUGGGCGAAAGCCUGAUCCAGCAAUGCCGCGUGUGUGAAGAAGGCCUUCGGGUUGUAAAGCACUUUUGUCCGGAAAGAAAUCCUUGGCUCUAAUACAGUCGGGGGAUGACGGUACCGGAAGAAUAAGCACCGGCUAACUACGUGCCAGCAGCCGCGGUAAUACGUAGGGUGCAAGCGUUAAUCGGAAUUACUGGGCGUAAAGCGUGCGCAGGCGGUUUGCUAAGACCGAUGUGAAAUCCCCGGGCUCAACCUGGGAACUGCAUUGGGUGACUGGCAGGGCUAGAGUAUGGCAGAGGGGGGUAGAAUUCCACGUGUAGCAGUGAAAUGCGUAGAGAUGUGGAGGAAUACCGAUGGCGAAGGCAGCCCCCUGGGCCAAUACUGACGCUCAUGCACGAAAGCGUGGGGAGCAAACAGGAUUAGAUACCCUGGUAGUCCACGCCCUAAAACGAUGUCAACUAGUUGUUGGGGAUUCAUUUCCUUAGUAACGUAGCUAACGCGUGAAGUUGACCGCCUGGGGAGUACGUCGCAAGAUUAAAACUCAAAUGAAUUGNCGGGGUC